CGGAGGAAAAGAAACCAACAGGGAUUGCCCUAGUAACGGCGAGUGAAGCGGCAACAGCUCAAAUUUGAAAGCUAACCUUCGGGUUCGCAUUGUAAUUUGUAGAGGAUGAUUUGGGGAAGCCGCCUGUCUAAGUUCCUUGGAACAGGACGUCAUAGAGGGUGAGAAUCCCGUAUGUGACAGGAAAUGGCACCCUAUGUAAAUCUCCUUCGACGAGUCGAGUUGUUUGGGAAUGCAGCUCUAAAUGGGAGGUAAAUUUCUUCUAAAGCUAAAUAUUGGCGAGAGACCGAUAGCGCACAAGUAGAGUGAUCGAAAGAUGAAAAGCACUUUGGAAAGAGAGUUAAAAAGCACGUGAAAUUGUUGAAAGGGAAGCGCUUGCAAUCAGACUUGUUUAAACUGUUCGGCCGGUCUUCUGACCGGUUUACUCAGUUUGGACAGGCCAGCAUCAGUUUCGGCGGCCGGAUAAAGGCUCUGGGAAUGUGGCCUUCACUUCGGCGGAGGUGUUAUAGCCCAGGGUGUAAUAUGGCCAGCCGGGUACUGAGGUCCGCGCUUCGGCU
rnacentral:rRNA from 1 species